UACGAAGGGGGCUAGCGUUGCUCGGAAUUACUGGGCGUAAAGCGCACGUAGGCGGCUUUCUAAGUCGGGGGUGAAAUCCUGGAGCUCAACUCCAGAACUGCCUUCGAUACUGGCGAUCUUGAGUCCGGAAGAGGUGAGUGGAACUCCUAGUGUAGAGGUGGAAUUCGUAGAUAUUAGGAAGAACACCAGUGGCGAAGGCGGCUCACUGGUCCGGUACUGACGCUGAGGUGCGAAAGCGUGGGGAGCAACAGG
rnacentral:rRNA from 1 species